rnacentral:rRNA from 1 species
GAGUCUAAUACCCCGUAGGCCUUGUUGCCGCAUGGUAAUAAGGUAAGGGGAGUGAUCCGAUGCGCGAUGGGCAUGCGGCGCAUUAGCUAGUUGGCGGGGUAACAGCCCACCAAGGCGACGAUGCGUAGGGGUUCUGAGAGGAAGGUCCCCCACACUGGUACUGAGACACGGACCAGACUCCUACGGGAGGCAGCAGUGAGGAAUAUUGGUCAAUGGGCGGAAGCCUGAACCAGCCAAGUCGCGUGCGGGAAGGAGGCCCUACGGGUCGUAAACCGCUUUUGAUGGGGGGUAACCAUGCGGACGAGUCCGCAUCUGAGAGUACCCAUCGAAUAAGCAUCGGCUAACUCCGUGCCAGCAGCCGCGGUAAUACGGAGGAUGCGAGCGUUAUCCGGAUUUAUUGGGUUUAAAGGGUGCGCAGGCGGCUAUUCAAGUCAGCGGUCAAAUUGCGGUGCUCAACGCCGUAUCGCCGUUGAAACUGAGUUGGCUAGAGUGAGAGUGAGGAAGGCGGAAUGCGCGGUGUAGCGGUGAAAUGCAUAGAUAUUGCGCAGAACUCCGAUUGCGAAGGCAGCUUUCCAAUUCUCUACUGACGCUCAUGCACGAAAGCGUGGGUAUCGAACAGGAUUAGAUACCCCUGGUAGUCCACGCGGUAAACGAUGGUCACUAGCUGUGCGCCCCUGAUUAAAGGGAGCUGUGGCCGAGCGAAAGCGUUAAGUGACCCACCUGGGGAGUACGCCGGCAACGGUGAAACUCAAAGGAAUUGACGGGGGCCCGCACAAGCGGAGGAACAUGUGGUUUAAUUCGAUGAUACGCGAGGAACCUUACCCGGGCUCAAACGCUUGCGGGAGUCUAUUUGAAAGGAUAGAUGCCCUUCGGGCGCUGCAAGCGAGGUGCUGCAUGGUUGUCGUCAGCUCGUGCCGUGAGGUGUCGGCUUAAGUGCCAUAACGAGCGCAACCCCCAUCUUCAGUUGCCGUCGGGUAGAGCCGGGCACUCUGGAGAGACUGCCGGCGCAAGCUGUGAGGAAGGCGGGGAUGACGUCAAAUCAGCACGGCCCUUACGUCCGGGGCGACACACGUGUUACAAUGGCGGGGUACAGAGGGAAGCCAGGCGGUGACGUCGAGCGGAUCCCGAAAACCCGUCUCAGUUCGGAUCGGAGUCUGCAACUCGACUCCGUGAAGCUGGAUUCGCUAGUAAUCGCGCAUCAGCCAUGGCGCGGUGAAUACGUUCCCGGGCCUUGUACACACCGCCCGUCAAGCCAUGGAAGCCUGGAGUGCCUAAAGUCCGUGACCGAAAGGAGCGGCGCAAGGUAAACAGUGACUUGGG